rnacentral:rRNA from 1 species
GAUGAACGCUGGCGGCGUGCCUAAUACAUGCAAGUCGAGCGAACAGACGAGGAGCUUGCUCCUCUGACGUUAGCGGCGGACGGGUGAGUAACACGUGGAUAACCUACCUAUAAGACUGGGAUAACUUCGGGAAACCGGAGCUAAUACCGGAUAAUAUAUUGAACCGCAUGGUUCAAUAGUGAAAGACGGUUUUGCUGUCACUUAUAGAUGGAUCCGCGCCGCAUUAGCUAGUUGGUAAGGUAACGGCUUACCAAGGCAACGAUGCGUAGCCGCCCUGAGAGGGUGAUCGGCCACACUGGAACUGAGACCCGGUCCAGACUCCUACGGGAGGCAGCAGUAGGGAAUCUUCCGCAAUGGGCGAAGGCCUGACGGAGCAACGCGGGGUGAGUGAUGAAGGUCUUCGGAUCGUAAAACUCUGUUAUUAGGGAAGACCAAAGGUGUAAGUAACUAUGCACGUAUUGACGGUAACUAAUCAGAAAGCCACGGCUAACUACGUG